rnacentral:pre_miRNA from 1 species
AAAAAGAUAAAUCCUGGGUUUCCGUGCCAACGUUUGACUGUCCAUCUUAUAUAAAUUUUUUUUAUAAUUAGUAUUUUCAUUGUUGUUAGAUGAUAAAACAUGAUUAAUACUUUAUACGUGACUUAUUUUUUUUUAUAAUUUUUUCAAAUAAGACGGAUGGUCAAACGUUGGACACGGAAGCU